rnacentral:misc_RNA from 1 species
AACUUUAGACCCGUGCCCAUCCUGCGAUCUGGAGAAGGAAAAUGUAGGAUAAUGAAGUAGAUUCUUGUAAAUCAGAAACUGAAAAAUCGAUUUUCAGCGAUAGGGUAGGUUUCUCUGAUGAUGGGGUCAUGUAUUCGAUGCCCCGGCGAGAAACUAGCCGAUUGUAGCUGCACACCGUGAAAGAGAGAGGAGAUCGAAGGGCUUACAAAUGAGUUCGGCAGAGGUAUUUGUGUGGAGGUUGAAAAUGCCUGUCCCUUGGUUGUGUUUGUGCGGCAAGACUGAUGAGAAUAUGAAGAUGAGUUUGGUCAAUUGGGAAGCUGUUUGUCAACCUAAAGCUCGGCCAAGGAUUGUGUUCUACAUCAUUUUUUUUCUUCGAGAAUAAAGCAAAGGAGGGUUUGCCUUGGAUCAAAAGGCAAUACCAGAUGCCAGAUGCUUAUCCUCCAUGAUGCUAUUAGUGUGUGUACUUGCUCCUUGGUUGCAAGUUAGGAAUUUCUAUCUUUAAAUAUUUUCUUUGAAGGGC